rnacentral:rRNA from 1 species
CAUUGCUGGAACGCGCCCCAGGCGCACCCAGAAACCCUUUGUGAACUUAUACCUUUUGUUGCCUCGGCGCUGCUGGCCCUCACAGGCCCUUUGCUUCACAGCAAAGAGACGGCACGCCGGCGGCCAAAUCAACUCUGUUUUUACACUGAAACUCUGAGAAAAAACACAAAUGAAUCAAAACUUUCAACAACGGAUCUCUUGGUUCUGGCAUCGAUGAAGAACGCAGCGAAAUGCGAUAAGUAAUGUGAAUUGCAGAAUUCAGUGAAUCAUCGAAUCUUUGAACGCACAUUGCGCCCUCUGGUAUUCCGGAGGGCAUGCCUGUUCGAGCGUCAUUUCAACCCUCAAGCAUUGCUUGGUGUUGGGGCACUGCUUUUAACGAAGCAGGCCCUGAAAUCUAGUGGCGAGCUCGCCAGGACCCCGAGCGCAGUAGUUAAACCCUCGCUCUGGAAGGCCCUGGCGGUGCCCUGCCGUUAAACCCCCAACUUCUGAAAAUU